GUGGGGAAUAUUGCACAAUGGGGGAAACCCUGAUGCAGCAACGCCGCGUGAGUGAUGACGGCCUUCGGGUUGUAAAGCUCUGUCUUCAGGGACGAUAAUGACGGUACCUGAGGAGGAAGCCACGGCUAACUACGUGCCAGCAGCCGCGGUAAUACGUAGGUGGCGAGCGUUGUCCGGAUUUACUGGGCGUAAAGGGAGCGUAGGCGGAUUUUUAAGUGAGAUGUGAAAUACUCGGGCUUAACCUGAGUGCUGCAUUUCAAACUGGAAGUCUAGAGUGCAGGAGAGGAGAAGGGAAUUCCUAGUGUAGCGGUGAAAUGCGUAGAGAUUAGGAAGAACACCAGUGGCGAAGGCGCUUCUCUGGACUGUAACUGACGCUGAGGCUCGAAAGCGUGGGGAGCAAACAGGAUUAGAUACCCUAGUAGUCC
rnacentral:rRNA from 1 species